UGGCUCAGGACGAACGCUGGCGGCGUGCUUAACACAUGCAAGUCGAACGAUGAUGCCCAGCUUGCUGGGUGGAUUAGUGGCGAACGGGUGAGUAACACGUGAGUAACCUGCCCCUGACUCUGGGAUAAGCGUUGGAAACGACGUCUAAUACUGGAUAUGAUCACUGGCCGCAUGGUCUGGUGGUGGAAAGAUUUUUUGGUUGGGGAUGGACUCGCGGCCUAUCAGCUUGUUGGUGAGGUAAUGGCUCACCAAGGCGACGACGGGUAGCCGGCCUGAGAGGGUGACCGGCCACACUGGGACUGAGACACGGCCCAGACUCCUACGGGAGGCAGCAGUGGGGAAUAUUGCACAAUGGGCGAAAGCCUGAUGCAGCAACGCCGCGUGAGGGAUGACGGCCUUCGGGUUGUAAACCUCUUUUAGUAGGGAAGAAGCGAAAGUGACGGUACCUGCAGAAAAAGCACCGGCUAACUACGUGCCAGCAGCCGCGGUAAUACGUAGGGUGCAAGCGUUGUCCGGAAUUAUUGGGCGUAAAGAGCUCGUAGGCGGUUUGUCGCGUCUGCUGUGAAAUCCCGAGGCUCAACCUCGGGCUUGCAGUGGGUACGGGCAGACUAGAGUGCGGUAGGGGAGAUUGGAAUUCCUGGUGUAGCGGUGGAAUGCGCAGAUAUCAGGAGGAACACCGAUGGCGAAGGCAGAUCUCUGGGCCGUAACUGACGCUGAGGAGCGAAAGCAUGGGGAGCGAACAGGAUUAGAUACCCUGGUAGUCCAUGCCGUAAACGUUGGGCGCUAGAUGUAGGGACCUUUCCACGGUUUCUGUGUCGUAGCUAACGCAUUAAGCGCCCCGCCUGGGGAGUACGGCCGCAAGGCUAAAACUCAAAGGAAUUGACGGGGGCCCGCACAAGCGGCGGAGCAUGCGGAUUAAUUCGAUGCAACGCGAAGAACCUUACCAAGGCUUGACAUACACCGGAAACGGCCAGAGAUGGUCGCCCCCUUGUGGUCGGUGUACAGGUGGUGCAUGGUUGUCGUCAGCUCGUGUCGUGAGAUGUUGGGUUAAGUCCCGCAACGAGCGCAACCCUCGUUCUAUGUUGCCAGCGGGUUAUGCCGGGGACUCAUAGGAGACUGCCGGGGUCAACUCGGAGGAAGGUGGGGAUGACGUCAAAUCAUCAUGCCCCUUAUGUCUUGGGCUUCACGCAUGCUACAAUGGCCGGUACAAAGGGCUGCGAUACCGUAAGGUGGAGCGAAUCCCAAAAAGCCGGUCUCAGUUCGGAUUGAGGUCUGCAACUCGACCUCAUGAAGUCGGAGUCGCUAGUAAUCGCAGAUCAGCAACGCUGCGGUGAAUACGUUCCCGGGCCUUGUACACACCGCCCGUCAAGUCAUGAAAGUCGGUAACACCCGAAGCCGGUGGCCUAACCCUUGUGGAAGGAGCCGUCGAAGGUGGGAUCGGUGAUUAGGACUAAGUCGUAACAAGGUAGCCGUACCGGAAGGUGCGGCUGGAUCAC
rnacentral:rRNA from 1 species